AAAAACAUGGCUCCUUGAAAAUAUUUUAUAGGGAGUUGGACCUGCCCAGUGAUUUUUUUUAACGGCCGCGGUACUCUGACCGUGCAAAGGUAGCAUAAUCAUUUGCCUUAUAAUUGAAGGCUAGUAUGAAAGGUUUGACAAGAAUAUAGCUGUCUCUAUAUGAUUAACUAGAAUUUUACUUUUAGGUGAAGAGGCCUGAAUUAAAUUAAAAGACAAGAAGACCCUAUCGAGCUUUUAAAAAAAUUAGAAGAUUAUUAAUUAAUAAGCUUAAAAAAUUAGCUUUUAAAAAUUUUAGUUGGGGCGACUGAGGAAUAGCAAAAGCUUCCUUAAGAAAAUUUCAAUGUACAGAUAUUGAUCCAUAAUAUUAUGAUUAAUGAAAUUAGUUACCGUAGGGAUAACAGCAUAAUCUUUUUUGAGAGCUCCUAUCGAAAAAAAGGUUUGUGACCUCGAUGUUGGACCAAAAUAUCCUAAAGAUGUAGCAGUCUUUAAUGGUUGGUCUGUUCGACCAUUAAAAUUUUACCUGA
rnacentral:rRNA from 1 species